rnacentral:lncRNA from 12 species
GAUGCACAGACAGAGGGAGAAGCAGGCUCCCUGCAGGGAGCCUGAUGCAGGACUCGAUUCCAGGACCUCGGGAUCAGGACCUGAGCCAAAGGCAGGUGCUCAAACACGGAGCAACCCAGACACCCCAUAUAAGGUGUGUUCAUUAAAGGGGAUACUGGAUGUGGGGCAUAUGAGAACUUUCUGUAUCCUCAUGAUUUUUUGCAAAUCUGAAAUUGUUCUAAAAAAGGCAAUCGAUUAAAAAAAGAAGACACUCCCUCAGACCCCUCAAAAUGCCCCCGACCUAGUCCAGGGCCUUCCUGGCACAGAUGAAGGCAGUACAGUGAAGGUGUCAUAAUCAUGGGUUCUGCGGGCGGGAGAUGUGGGUUCCAGCCCUGACUCUGUUGCUCUGCUGUGUCCCGAGGCAACUGACUUCCCCUCCCUGAGCCCUCAUCUCAUUGUGGGUCAAAAGGGGUGAGAAUAACACAGUCACAGGGGUGUUGUAGAGACCAAAGUGGGGACUUCAAGGAGCGUGGCCAGGCUAGUGAUGCUGCACCCAGGGGUCGGGAACGCAUCCAAGGGCACGGAUGACGCAAGCCGUUUCCACCCACCUCAGGGCCACCCCGAGUCAGCACACGUCUUUUGAACAGAUCCACAUACAGAAAUGGCCUGGAUGACACGAUGCCCUUGCCGAGUGAAGGAAAUGCCAGAGUUGACACUGAGUCACCGGGCUGUGUCACUGGACUCCAAGAGAGAUGGCGUAUUUGCGAUCUCCCUGUGACAAGGCCAUCCUCGAAGAGAAAUGCGGGGCUGCCUUGAUUGACCACCGUAACAUGGCAGGACGUCUGGGCAUGGUUGGUGACAUACCUUCCUUGGUAAGAGGAUUAAAUAAGAAUGCGUGGAAAGCUUUAGCACCAGACCCAGUGAUACAUAAUCAUUUGUUGUUUUGUCUAAAAAUAUAUGCUCUAAUUUAUGUCAGAAUGUGUCCACUCCUUUCCAGUGCUGACCUUCACCCCACAAACACUUACAAUGCCCCCCAGUACCCAUUAUGUACCAGCCGCAGUGGGUAGCACCCAGCUGUGGAAGGGAAUUUAUGGACUGCCUACUGACACCAGGCUCUUUACCUGUGCUGUUCUGCUUAAUACCCCGAGAGCCCUAACAAGGAAACAGAGCUAUCCCUAUUUUAUAGAUUCAGAAACUGAGGUGCCCUAAGGGGCAGAGCUGUGAGUGAGACCAGAGCCCACGGGCUUUCCCCCGCGACACAAAGUUCCUCACAGAGAAACACAGUCCCUGCCUUCAAGAAGCUAUGGUCUGCGGUGGAGCGGAUGGAUAAACAAACGUGGAAAAAAAGAGUCACGGGUGGGAGUCAGUGGACAAAUGAGCACCUGUACGGUGCCGUGAGUCCAGUGGAGGCAGAUUUCCCUAAGCACAGGAAGUACUGUUCUAGGGCGCACUGCUAAGUGGACAUGGGGCGGGGGGUGUUGAUAGGAGUGAGUAAGUAGGACACAGAAAAAGCUGGGAGGAUUCAGGUGCCAGUUAGUCUUGAGGGCAAGAGGGGAGGAAAUCGGGCUGGGGGACUGACUGCAAAGCCCUUACUAAUGAACUGAACAAGCUCAGGCUUUGUUCUACAGGUGAUGGGAAAUCCUUGUUGGCUUCUCAUGAAGAAAGUGAUAAAAAAAAAGCAGUGUCUUGGGAAAAUCCAUCCAGUUGUACAUCAUCAUAGUAAUUACAAAUACUUGCACUACCCUUCGGCAUUGUGUUUCUUUCUUUGUCAGCCAGGCACUUGUGCUAAGCUUGUUAAUGCCUUCUUUUAUCGUCCAAAUGACACAUAGUGGGAGGUUUUAUAAUCACCUCCACUGUCCAGUGUCCAUUCCUCCGUUUCCAGAUGUUGAGAUGGGCGAAUGUAUUUUGCAUGUGGAUGGAUGGGAGUAGAGGGCAGGCCUUAAUAGGUUUAAUAGUGCCCCCCCCCAUCAUGUCCACCUAGAAACUCAGAAAGUGACCUUAUUUGGAAAUGACAUCUUCACAGAUGUAAUUAGUCAAGGAUCUGAAGAUGAAAUCACCCUGUAUUUAGGGUGGGUCCUAAGUCCAAUGGCAUAUUCUUAUUAGAAGGGGAAUGGACACAGAGACAGAAAGAGAGAAAGGUGAUGUGACCAUGGAGGCAGAUGGGAGUGAUGUGAUUAUAAGCCAAGGAAUGCCGAGGAAUUGCUGAGGGCCACCAGAUGCUGGGAGAGGGGGCAUGGAACAGACUCCCUCAGAGCCUCCAGAAGGAACCCAUCCUACUGAUACCUUGAUUUUGGAUUUCUGUUCCCCAGAACUAUGAGCGAAUACAUUUCUAUUGUUUUCAGCUGCCCAAUUUGUGGCAAUUUGUUAUGGUAGCCUCAGGAAAGUAAUACAUAUUUUGGUCCCUGAGAGACGUAGCUGAUUCGGAAUUCUGACUCUAGAGUCCAGUCUUUCUCCACUUUGUUCUGACAGAGGGGGGCAGGGAUAGCGGACUGGACCCAAUCAGAAAGCCUGCUGUGGUGGAGAGCUGAAAACAGGGUGUGAUCCAAGGGAAUGUGUGCCCUGGGCUAUGCACAGUGCCCAGCACACAGUAGGGACUCCAGGUGUGCCUGCAGGAAUGGGAACUAGCCACCCUACUAGGUGCUGAUCUGUGAAUGGGUGUAUGAAUACACUGGAGAUGGAUUGCGCGAAAGAGGGUAACUGAGAAAAGGUAAAGGGGUCUGAGUCAAGGUUUGGGAGCCAGGAGAAAAGCAGGGAUUGACCCUCUUGUCUCUCCUUCCGUCAUCAGGUGGAGACUGGCUAAUGUGAAGGCAAUGACCUCCAUCACACAUUUCAGAAGAACUUACCCUUGCCUCUUUCUCCGACCUGGAGAACCAAGAUGAUUCUAAGUGCUAGCCUUUUAAAACCAGAUUCCUAUACCCUCAUCACUCACCAAAAAUUCCCCAUUCUCACGCUCCUAAAUGGUCCCUCUAACUCUGAAGGACCCAGAAAGCAUAUUUGCCCCCUGCAACCCCUGCCCAUCUCUCUCAGCCUAGAGGAGAGAUAGCAGAUAUAUUUCAGAUAGGCUGAUUUUUUUUUUAAUCAAAAGGAAAUUAAAGAACAGGGAAUGAUGUACAUUUCUUAUGGGGAGAGCGGGAGUCUUAUUCCUUGCCUGUCUUAAAAUAGCCUGAUGGAACGCAAUAUUUGCAUUAUGCUCAGGGUCAGCUGCUCUGGGGACUGCAGCCCAGGCCUGCCUGGAGAAGGGAGCGAGGGGCUGAGUUUUGAGAUUUACUGCAUUAAUGCUUCUCUAGUUUCUGCGGAGUAGCCACUGGAGAGAGGCUUGGCUGCCGAGGCAGUGAAAGAAACACAUGCAGAAACGCAGUAUCAAUAACUAAAUAUAACUCACAUCUGAAAUGCCUUUCACUGCACCCGGAGUGCUUUCCAAAUAUAUUAUCUCAUUAAAUCCACACAGAAGCAGAGGGAGGUAGGGUCCUCGCUCCCUCCUCUUAUGAGGGAGUGGAGAUUCAAAGCCCAGGGUUUGUGACUGCAUGUGGCGUGUCCUUUCAUCUGCAUCUGCGGUCUUGCACGCGGGCUUUGCAGAGGACCAGCAGGGAUGGGCGAAGGCAAUGCCAGCUGCUGUAACAAGCCGACCCCCAAAUACCUACAACUUCACACCAUCGGCAUUUAUUUCUUACUAUGUGAAAUCCCAAAGGGGUGUUGCAGAUCGUCAGGCUUCUGCACGAUCAUCUGGGGACCCCAGCUCCUUCCAGCUUUUGACUCACCUCUUAGCCUCAGCAUCCUCUGCAUUUAGCCUAUAGAUGGGGCAGGGCUUUAUGAGCCGGGCCUGGAAAAACCCCUCCCCCAUCUUCCAACUACAUUCAUUGGAUGGAGCUCAGUCACAUGGCUACAGCUACCUGCAAAGCAGACUGGGAAAUGUAGUCUAGCUGUGAAGUAGGAGAAAGAGGAAGGGAUGUGGUGAAGAGCCAGCCAAUUUCGAGCGACCCUCCACUCCCACUUCCUGCUCCAAGCAAGGCAGCUCCAAUUCUAUUUUAUAUAUUGCAUUCUACAUCAGAUUGAGUUUGAAGAAAGCACUCCAGGACUUGAAAAAAUGUGUCAAGAUUCUAGAUCAGUGGUCCUUAGACAGGGCUGGUUAUUUGGACUGCUAGGGUAGGUUGUGAAAAACAUAGAUUCCUGGGUUGCUUCUUUGGUGAUUCUGAUUCUGUAAAUACAGGGUCUGCUGUAGGCUCCACCAGUGUAUAUGUUGAACUUCAUCACUUGCUUUUGAAAACCCAUAAACAGUUUGGUGAAGAAUGCAGAUGGUGGAUGGUCAUGGUGAUUACAAAUUAGGGAAGAGCAAAAAGUGCUGGUGAGGACGUGGAGAGACAAGAGCUUGAUGUGCAACCACUCAUCUAGAAAAGUUGAAGCUGGGGCACCUGGAGGGGUUUGGCUGAGUGGUUGAGAGUCUGCCUUUGGCUCAGGUCCUGAUUCCAGAGUCCUGGGAUCAAGUUCUGCAAUAGGCUCCCCACAGGGAGCCUGCUUCUCCCUCUGCCUAUGUCUCUGCUUCUCUUUCUAUGUGUCUCUCAUGAAUAAAUAAAUAAAAUCUUUAAAAAAAAGGAAAAAA